UGGUAGGGACGUCCUUAUUUUCCUAAAAUGCGGACGUUUGCUUUGAGCCGUUGGAUCUCAUCCAACGGCUGUAAUAGAAGGGCGAGACACGCGGGUAAAAAAGGGGAUGGGUCGGGUAAAAUACAACUCGCGGGUCACCAGGUGAUCUCAAACGGGCCAAACAAAACCCCCAAUUCCCUCAUUUCUCCCUCGUUGAACAACAGACGAAGAGAGAGAGAAGAGCGGAGAAAUCGAAGAAGACGGAGAAUCGACGAACGAAGAAACGAAUCGAAGACGAACGAUCUGUCAACAAGGUCUCUCUCUCUCUCUCUCAACUUCCUUCUAGAAACCCUAACCCCCUCGAUUUUCAAACUCACAAAUUAGGGCUCGUAUACGCGAAGAAUACAGCUCGAUUUGAAGAGCUUGAUUUUUGACGAAUGAAGAAACGAAUCGAAGACGAACGAUCUGUCAAGAAGAUGGACGAAGGAGGAAAUCGGACUAGACGCAAAAGAUCAAAAGUUGCAUCAAAGUGCCUUGAACUGGAAUAUGCAUUUAGAAGCUGAAAUGGAGUGAUGCCUUUCAAAUUGUAAAUGAGCAAGGAUGGUGCUGACCGUGCUGCUAUCUCCAGUCUAAUCUGUGAACAUGUGAGAGCAUGCUUGUGUGGUUGAAGGAACAUGACCCCCUCUCGUGACAAUAUUAGGCUAUGUAAUGCUUGGGUCCAAGGCUAUCCCCUUGCCCUGGCUCCUACUUGGUUGGUUAACUGCCAACAAAAGAAAGAAAAAUAAUCCGCAUCCAUGUAAUGUUGGGACCUCUCUGGUCAUUGUAUUUAACCAGGCAAUUGUGUGAUUUGUACAGAAUUUUUAUGUGACACCUUAUAAUUUACACCUCUCUUCAGAAAGUUUUGAUCUUUAGAGA